GCCCGGUUAGCUCAGUGGUAGAGCGUGUGGCUUUUAUCGGCACCUCAAUGUCGCGGGUUCGACCCCCGCAUCGGGCU